rnacentral:rRNA from 1 species
AACGAACGCUGGCGGCAUGCCUAACACAUGCAAGUCGAACGAGACCUUCGGGUCUAGUGGCGCACGGGUGCGUAACGCGUGGGAAUCUGCCCUUGGGUUCGGAAUAACAGUUAGAAAUGACUGCUAAUACCGGAUAAUGUCUUCGGACCAAAGAUUUAUCGCCCAGGGAUGAGCCCGCGUAGGAUUAGCUAGUUGGUGAGGUAAAGGCUCACCAAGGCGACGAUCCUUAGCUGGUCUGAGAGGAUGAUCAGCCACACUGGGACUGAGACACGGCCCAGACUCCUACGGGAGGCAGCAGUGGGGAAUAUUGGACAAUGGGCGAAAGCCUGAUCCAGCAAUGCCGCGUGAGUGAUGAAGGCCUUAGGGUUGUAAAGCUCUUUUACCCGGAUGAUAAUGACAGUACCGGGAGAAUAAGCUCCGGCUAACUCCGUGCCAGCAGCCGCGGUAAU